rnacentral:rRNA from 1 species
CUGCUGCCUCCCGUAGGAGUCUGGUCCGUGUCUCAGUACCAGUGUGGGGGACCUUCCUCUCAGAACCCCUAUCCAUCGUGGACUUGGUGAGCCGUUACCUCACCAACUAUCUAAUGGAACGCAUGCCCAUCUAUCAGCGAUAAUUCUUUAACAAAUAUUUCCAUGUGGAACCCCUGUUUUAUGCGGUAUUAGUCCGACUUUCGCCGGGUUAGUUCCCCUCCUGAUAGGUAGGUUGCAUACGCGUUACUCACCCGUGCGCCGGUCG